GACCACGUGGCCUAAUGGAUAAGGCAUUUGACUUCAGAUCAGGUGAUUGAGGGGUCGAGUCCCUUUGUGGUUG
rnacentral:tRNA from 1 species